UUUUUUUAUUUUAUUUUUUUCUUUUAGAGAUUUUAUUUUUCCUUUUUCUCCCCAAAGUCCCCUGUACAUAGUUGUAUAUUUUUAGUUGUGGGUCCUUCUAGUUGUGGCAUGUGGGAUGCUGCCUCAGCACGGCUUGACGAGCAGUGCCAUGUCCGUGCCCAGGAUCAGAACCGGCGAAACCCUGGGCCGCUGAAGUAGAGCACGCGAACUUAAUCACUUGGCCAUGGGGCCGGCCCCUAAAGCCCAUUCUAAAGACUUUAUUUUUAGUCACUGGCGGAUGAAAUCCAACUCUGCGGGUUCCCCUCAAUGCAGGUAGGCAGGCAGGCCGGAGUGGAGCUGGUGAGUUAUGGUCAACAAGUCCUUGCCCACACUGGGUCACCACCCACUUCCUCUUACAGAAAAGCCUGCCCUGUACAGAGAGUGUAGGUGAGGAAAUGAGAACUGUGGCAAUCGUAUGCUGAGAAGGACACAUCAGUGUCUUCCUGUUCCUUAACCUAGUCAGAGCACAGCCCCAUGUCAUCUUCAAACAUGGCCUGCCCCAGGCCUCCUGGGUCAUAUGGGCCUGUGAUAGCCAAUUAUCCAGAGUCCAGUAAGACCAUGUCAUAUGAAACCAAAUAAAAGAAAUAACCAAGGGUGAAAGAGAUUACAAACAUUUGGGAAUGACACAAAGUGGUUAACAAAUCUGUAGAGAUCAAUGACUCAGACUUUACAAAUUAAAUUCUAUAGGAACAUAAAAUAUUAAAGAAAAGGUCCUGGGUCUCAGAUUGCCAUGUGUUUCUGACAUUUCUAGACCUCGAGCUCAGAUGUGAGUACUCAGUCAGUCCAGCGCUCCACGCUGCCACUGUAAUUAAGACUAAAUGAAGUGAAAAGGCUGCUAACACGUGUAUCAUAGAAAAUGCUAUGAUUCAUUUAUCUACGAUGGAAUUAGAAUUCUGGAAAUAUGCUGCCAAUUUCUUUGCCAUUAGAGAGGACUGAAUUGUACAAAACAAAUGCACUGUCUGUUAUUUAUGACUCAGGUCUAAGAUUUUUCUUGGUAAAUGAAUAAAAUUUUUUUUGUGAGGAAGAUUUGCCCUGAGCUAACAUCCGUUGCCAAUCCUCUCCUUUAUUAUUUCUUUUGCUUGAGGAAGAUUAGCCCUGAGCCAACAUCUGUGCCAAUCUUCCUCUACUUUGUAUGUGGGAUGCCUCCACAGCAUGGCUGGUGAGUGGAAUAGCUCCAAAUCUGUGAACCCAGGGCCGCCAAAGCGGAGCAUGCAGGGCCACAGGGCCAGGGCCAGCCCCCAAUAAAAUAUUUUUAUAAUUAUUAAUCUGAUAUCUGGUGUUCUAUAACGGUGAAAAAGAGAAGGUGUUGACAUUUUACAAUUUGUUGCUGAAAGAAGCCCAUAAAAUGGAAUGUCAUUAUUUCAUUGUUUCUUGAUACAGACCCAUUGCAAUUCCUAUACUAACUUUUGUGUGCUGCAAUUUAAUCAAUUUUCAAGCACCGUGGUGUAAUUGAAUUUAUUUAUGCAUUUCUCAGACCAUAUUGGAACUUAGAAACAUUCUGUGAGUAGCAGGAAUCACAAUUUUAUCUGAGGUUAUCUGUGUUGAAGGGCGGCUGAAAGUGCAUGGGUUCUGGGUCGGCAUCACACUGUGUCACUUGCUUACUGAAUGACCUUAGACAGGUUACCACCCUUCUCCAAGCCUCAGUUUCCUCAUGUGCAAAAUGGGGAUAAUUAUAGUGUUGGCCUCAAAGGCUUUUUCUUUUAACUUUUUACUUUGAAAUGACUGAUCCAUGAGAUGUUGCAAGAAUAGCACAGUGAGGUCCCAUGUGUCUGUCACCCAGCUUAACCCAGUGGUGACAUCUUAUGUAACUAUAGUGCAUGAUCAAAACCAGGACAUUGCUUGGCACAGUACAAUUACCCAGACUAUAAUUCUUACUCAAAUUUCAAUUUCUUUUUUUGGUAGGGCUUUGUGUAUAAUUCUAUGGCAAUUUAUCACAUGUACAGAUUUGAAUAACCACCACACCAAUCAAGAGACAAACGUGGAUUAAAUACAAUUAGGCAUUGAAAGGGCUUAGCACAAGAGGUAGCAUAUAGAAAGAACGAAUUAAAUGUCAGCUAUUAUGAUUAUUAGUUGGAUGGAUUCCGAUGAUCUUGCUUAUUCAACGCUUUCUAAUUUCAUGAGGUACUUGGCUGGUUGACAUAAAUACAUAGUAUUUUAAAAGCUAGAAGCAAACACUUCUAUUUAAUCAUCCUUUAAAAUUUUUUCUCUAUUUUAUGAUGCUUUGACAUGUUGGGGCCUUGCAGAUGUAGGGAGGGGCUGCCGCCUGGAGGGUUAGCUAAUUCCUAGAAAUAGCAAAUGACUUGCCCGUGAGAAUGCCUUAGAUAUGCAAACCAUACCCUUAUCUGCCUCCUUUCAUCAGGCUCCUGAAGUAAUUUCCCACCCCGCACACCUGCUCCUUGGCUGUAUAUCCCCACUGGUUCUCAUUGUAUUUGGAGUUGAGCCCCAUCUCUCUCCUCUAUUGCAAUGAUCUUGAAGCUCCAUGUAUCCCAUAGUCCGUAAUAAAGUGUUCUCUUUCUUACCGUGCUAACAAGUGUCAGAUUAACUGUUUCUUUAACAAACCCCAGGCCCAGUCUAUUCUAGACAGAACAAAUGUGUUCUUCCCAGGAUUAAGGAAGCCUUGUCAGGGCCUUCUUCCUUGAUUGCCUGGGAUGGAGGGUGAGGGGACAAAAUUAAAGGGUAUACUAAUUUCUCCCAGUAUUUCUGCCAUUCCUUAGAUGAAGAACAAAGAGAAGAAAUCUCAUUCUUGAUGCAGUAAAAUUGGUGCACGGGAAAACUUCAUCAGAGUUAAAAUAGGACCACGGUUUCCCAGUAAUCAUUCCAUUUAUUCAAUAGUUAACUUAAAUAUGGAUUCUAAGACGGGGACGUGCUUUUCAGGUAAAUGACCUUGCUACUGUUACUGAACCAGAUUUGUUUU
rnacentral:lncRNA from 1 species